rnacentral:rRNA from 1 species
CACCGCGGUUAUACGAGAGACCUAAGUUGUUAACCCCCGGCGUAAAGAGUGGUUAGAUCCCCAAACACCAAAACUGAGGCCGAACACCCUCAAAGCAGUUAUACGCUCCCGAGGGCAUGAAGAACAACUACGAAAGUAGCCUCACCUUGCUUGAACCCACGAAAGCUAGGAUA